AAGAAAAAAAAAAAAAAAUGGAUAAAGGAAAAAAAAAAUGGACAAAGGGAAUCCUCUUGCACUGUUGGUGGGAAUGUAAAUUGAUACAGCCACUACGGAGAACAGUUUGGAAGUUCCUUAAAAAACUACCAUACAACCCAGCAAUCCCACGACUGGGCAUAUACCCUGAGAAAACCAUAAUGCAAAAAGAGUCAUGUACCACAAUGUUCAUUGCAGCUCUAUUUACAAUAGCCAGGACAUGGAAACAACCUAAGUGUCCAACGACAGCUGAAUGGAUAAAGAAGAUGUGGCACAUAUAUACAAUGGAAUAUUACCCAGCCAUAAAAAGAAACGAAAUUGAGCUAUUUGUAGUGAGGUGGAUGGACCUAGAGUCUGUCAUACAGAGUGAAGUAAGUCAGAAAGAGAAAAACAAUUACCGUAUGCUAACACAUAUAUAUGGAAUCUAAAAAAAAAAAAAAAAAAAAAAGGUUAUGAA